CGGAGCGUAGCGCAGCUUGGUAGCGCAUCACGUUAGGGACGUGGGGGUCGCAAGUUCAAAUCUUGUCGCUCCGACCA
rnacentral:tRNA from 1 species